AUGCAAGAUUAAUGAUAUGUCAAUGGACCUGGGGCUAAGCAAAUUCCAGAUAGUCAUGGAUGUGGUUGUUAGGUGAUUCCACUUUAUGAGGUGGAAGAUUGGGAGGUUCUCAUGACAAUUCGUUCACUCUAGUCGGAGGCGAUGGAGAAGAAGAUGAAGUGGUAGACGUUUCCAAAUUUAAUUAAUGUGGCAUGCGUUUUUCCUUGCACACCAUUUUGUUAUAUUCUGUUUUUGAGUUAAGUUCAACCAUUAAAUGCAAGGUGGUGGGUGGUUCGUUCAACCUUCUACUAUCACAUCAAGGAGAGAUGCGUAUUCUAAUGUUUGUAAUCUUCCUUCAUUCUUCCUUUCGUUUCUGGUUUUUUCCCCUUCUUGCUCCAUUUUUAUUUCCUUCCGCUGAUUUCACUUUUCUUUAUUGUUCUUGGAUUUUUUUUUUUCCCACCUUUCUUUUGCAGCUUAUCAAUGAAAGAAGAGAACAAAAAGCAUGUGUUCUGUCUCUGUUUUCACCUUAUUUGCUUGAGGCAGCUCUGCUAUAGUGUUAAAUGGAAAAUCUAUUUGACUUUAUUUUUCCUUUAAUCUGCAUGCGUCAAACAUGUUGAAGUGUAUAUUAUUUGUUUUUGACUUCUUCUUUUGUGCCAGGCAUGUGGGUUUCUGCCUUGAAGGUUAACAAAGUGAGGGAUGUGUACUGCAAGGAGGUGACCUAAGUAUGGAAGAAACAUGAGAAAAGUCACCUGUAUGCUGCAUGGUGAGUGUGGGGAGUCUACAUUGCGAGGAUUACAGGCUGUUCCUAACAGGGACAACAAAAGUGUGUCGUUAUUCAGUAUGCUCAUUCAUAUGUCAUGGACGCU